rnacentral:rRNA from 1 species
AUUGAACGCUGGCGGCAUGCCUAACACAUGCAAGUCGAACGGAAACGACGAAAACAAUCCCUUCGGGGUGCGUCUUCGGGCGUCGAGUGGCGGACGGGUGCGUAACGCGUAGGAAUCUACCUUAUAGUGGGGGACAACUCGGGGAAACUCGAGCUAAUACCGCAUAAGCCUUACGAGGGAAAGCAGGGGAUCUUCGGACCUUGCGCUAUUAGAUGAGCCUGCGUCGGAUUAGCUUGUUGGUAGGGUAAUGGCCUACCAAGGCAACGAUCCGUAGCUGGUCUGAGAGGAUGAUCAGCCACACUGGGACUGAGACACGGCCCAGACUCCUACGGGAGGCAGCAGUGGGGAAUAUUGGACAAUGGGCGCAAGCCUGAUCCAGCAAUGCCGCGUGUGUGAAGAAGGCCUUAGGGUUGUAAAGCACUUUCAGUAGGGAAGAAAUGCGUGUAGUUAAUAACUGCGCGUCUUGACGGUACCUACAGAAGAAGCACCGGCUAACUCCGUG